UUCAUUUUCUUCCUUUUUCAAUUUUCUCAAAAAAGAAAAAUAAAACCCCUGUUAAAUUUUUAAUUAUUAAUUGUUUUUUGAAGCUGGGUUAUCACUUAUCAGAAAGUGGCAGCUUGUACCAAAACUAUUACACAUUUCAAUUUCACUCACUAUCUGCUUCUUGAAAUUUCCAAGAACACAAAAAAACACCUACAGAUUUCAACCUACCACUAUCCCAUAAAUGCCAAAUAUUUCACCAAAAUUACAGCAAGCAAUUCUAGAGUGAAAAAAGUUAAGAGAGAGAAAAGGAGACAGAGAGUCUGUAAACUGUAAAGUGAGGUGUGUAAAUUUGGAAGCAUUCAUUUGAGCAAUAUAUAUUUAAUUUAAUUGAGUGUGAACCCAUUAAAUUUUUAGAGAGAGAAAGAUUGAAUUUUUACACUGGAAAGUGUAGAUUCAGUUGUUUAGAGUAAAGAAUAGCAAAAUAAGGGACAACCCACGAUCUGGGUAGUCCCCAUUAUUGCUGUAAAACCUUGCUUUCUCUCUCUACAAGUGUUUCUCUCUCUACCCAUAUACACUAAUCAUGCCUUCGGGUGCUAAGAAGAGAAAAGCUGCCAAGAAAAAGUUGCAAAAAGAAACCCAUAACUCUACCAACAACAACUAUGGGUCUCACUCUAAAGGGAAUGAUAAUGGAAAAUCCCAUGAUGAGAGAGAGAGUGAUGGUGGUGAAGGUGAAAGGGAGUCUUUUAAGGAAGUAAGAAAUGUUCAAGAAUUUUCGAGCGAAGGGAAGGGUAAUACUGGCGAGAGUUAUAAUGAUGUAAUGGUUAAUACUGAGGAUGAUGGUAGAGAGAGUAAGAAUGGGCAACAUGAGAAUUCCAGUUCUAGUUCCAGCAGUAGCAGUUCAGAUGAUGAGGAGGUUGCAGUUGAAAAGGAGAAACCUGUGGUAGCAGAGGCAUCAGGGGAGAAUCCAGUGAUUUCCGAGGUGGUCUGUGAUUCGGUUGAGGAGAGUAUCCCUGUUGAAGAGUCGGUUAAGCAAGUUGUGUCGUUGCCACAAGAGCCAAAUGCUGGGAGUGAGAGUGCGGCUGUUAAGAAUUCUAUGAUCUCUCAUGUUGUUGAAUCAGGAUUGAAGCAAAACUGUGAUGAAGUCUUGCCAUCAGCUGAUGAGAAAGACAAAGUUUCUUCUGGAGUGACAGAAUUUCUGCAGGAGGAGAUUGAAACAAAAGUGAUUCAAGUCAAGGAAGAGGUCCCUGGGAACCUUUCUGGAUCUGUGGACAUCGCAGCAAGAGAUGGUGACGGUUUGUUGCCUCCGUCUUCUGGUGUAAUACCUGCAGAUGCUUGUUAUGAGGAUAAUCAUGUGAAAGAGUCAGAGACACAUAAGUACGUCGAGGAGCAGCCAUUGGUAUCUUCUGCUCCACUGCCUGUGCGACGAACUUCCUGGAUGAAUUGCUGUGGGCUUUUUGAAGCUUUCUCAGGUGCAGCCAGUAGAUAAUUUUAGGAUUCACUGAUUGGAUGAACUAGUGUCAAGAGCUUGCGAGCUUCUAGAUGCUUAGAUAUGAUUGACAAUUUAGUCAAAGUUUCAAGCUCAAAUCAACGUCAGAAUAGAAGUGUUUUCUAUGGGAAGUAGAGAAACAUGGGUUAUAUAGGAAAAUUAAUGAUACAUAGACAUCGUAAGGACCAUCAAGCUUUUUUAUUAGAAUAAUUACAUAUUGGAUGUACUACAUAAACUGUUUGAUCCAUCUCGCACUAUCAUAGUGCGUUUGUUGAUAGUUUUUGCUUGAUUUCCUGGUGUUCUACAGACACUGUUUAUUUAUUUUUUUGGUGCAGCACUUGAAAGUGCGUUUUCUUUUGUUGGUUUAUUUUGUUUUUGGGUUCCGCUGUAUGAUUUGUUUAAGGAAUGUUUCUAGUUAAUAUUACAUGAGAUAGAAGGUCUACUUGCUCUAA